GUGGUGCAACAAAAUUUAUCCAGAUGAAGCCAGUUACAACUAGCUGACACACGCACAACACUUGGCCAUCCUGGACUCCCCCAACAUGAACCAUCACCCAGGGAAGAGCCCACUCGGGCACAGGUCAUCGACCCACAAUAGGGCCUAGACCUGUGCCCAUCCCCUGAUCUCUGCUGGAUUUGCAGUGGUGAGAGAGAGAUCCCAUUCUGGUUUUACCCAACAGAUGCUAUCAGGCAAGAUUAAGAACUCAUGGAAUUCCUUAAAGCCUAUGCUCUGAAAAAUGCCUCUGGUGUAGUCAGGAGGUUCCCCAUCCUUCAGACGUUUGGUGUUGUAAGAGGAGUGGAAACCCUUCAGCUCCUGGAGAAGCCC